rnacentral:rRNA from 1 species
UACGGGGGGGCAAGCGUUGUUCGGAAUUACUGGGCGUAAAGGGCUCGUAGGCGGCCAACUAAGUCAGACGUGAAAUCCCUCGGCUUAACCGGGGAACUGCGUCUGAUACUGGUUGGCUUGAAUCCGGGAGAGGGAUGUGACGUACUCGAGUGAGAGCGGUGAAAUGCGUAGAUAUCUGGAGGAACACCGGUGGCGAAGGCGGCAUCCUGGACCGGCAUGACGCUGAGGAGCGAAAGCCAGGGGAGCAAACGGG